CUUGCUUUUCUGAUGACGAGUGGCGCACGGGUGCGUAACGCGUAUAGAACCUACCCUUUACAGGGGGAUAGCCCGGAGAAAUUCGGAUUAAUACCCCAUAGUACUACGAAGAGGCAUCUUUUUGUGGUUAAAGUAUUUACGGUAAAGGAUGGCUAUGCGUCCUAUUAGUUAGUAGGUGAGGUAACGGCUCACCUAGACUUCGAUAGGUAGGGGCCCUGAGAGGGGGAUCCCCCACACUGGUACUGAGACACGGACCAG
rnacentral:rRNA from 1 species